GGUGAGAUGGCCGAGCGGUCUAAGGCGCUGCACUCAAGCUAUCCAGCUUCCCUAUCUCCCAAAAGUUAGGGAGUAUUGCAGUCUAGUAAUAGGCGGGGGUUCGAAUCCCCCUCUCAUCA